CUCCCCGAGUAGUAUCAAAUCCAUUAUCGAGCUCCUCCAAAAGCGUGGUUAUUGCUAGUUGAAAACUAUACCCAAUACCCCGCGCUGACGACCUUUUAGUCGGCAUGCGCAAUUUUUGCCGGCUUCUACGGGAG